rnacentral:rRNA from 1 species
AAUGAACGCUGGCGGCGUGCUUAACACAUGCAAGUCGAGCGGUAAGGGCCCUUUCGGGGGUACACGAGCGGCGAACGGGUGAGUAACACGUGGGUGACCUGCCCUCAGCUCUGGGAUAAGCCUGGGAAACCGGGUCUAAUACCGGAUAUGACUCCAUGACGCAUGUUGUGGGGUGGAAAGCCUUGUGCGGCUGAGGAUGGGCCCGCGGCCUAUCAGCUUGUUGGUGGGGUGAUGGCCUACCAAGGCGACGACGGGUAGCCGGCCUGAGAGGGCGACCGGCCACACUGGGACUGAGACACGGCCCAGACUCCUACGGGAGGCAGGCAGUGGGGAAUCUUGCGCAAUGGGCGAAAGCCUGACGCAGCGACGCCGCGUGAGGGAUGACGGCCUGG